rnacentral:rRNA from 1 species
ACGAACGCUGGCGGCAGGCCUAACACAUGCAAGUCGAGCGAUACCAGCAAUGGUGGAGCGGCAGACGGGUGAGUAACACGUGGGAACGUACCCUUCGGUUCGGAAUAACUCAGGGAAACUUGAGCUAAUACCGGAUACGUCCGAGAGGAGAAAGAUUUAUCGCCAUUGGAGCGGCCCGCGUCUGAUUAGCUAGUUGGUGAGGUAAAGGCUCACCAAGGCUACGAUCAGUAGCNGGUCUGAGAGGAUGAUCAGCCACACUGGGACUGAGACACGGCCCAGACUCCUACGGGAGGCAGCAGUGGGGAAUCUUGCGCAAUGGGCGCAAGCCUGAUCCAGCCAUGCCGCGUGAGUGAUGAAGGCCCUAGGGUUGUAAAGCUCUUUCGGCGGGGACGAUAAUGACGGUACCCGCAGAAGAA